rnacentral:rRNA from 1 species
CUGGCGGCGUGCUUAACACAUGCAAGUCGAACGGAGCAUAGCAAUAUGCUUAGUGGCGGACGGGUGAGUAACACGUGAGCAACCUGCCCUAUACAACGGGAUAACACAGAGAAAUCUGUGCUAAUACCGUAUAAGACCACACCCCGGCAUCGGGGAGGGGUCAAAGCGUUUAGCGGUAUAGGAGGGGCUCGCGGCCCAUUAGAUAGUUGGUGAGGUAACGGCCCACCAAGUCGACGAUGGGUAGCCGACCUGAGAGGGUGAACGGCCACAUUGGAACUGAGAAACGGUCCAAACUCCUACGGGAGGCAGCAGUGGGGAAUAUUGGGCAAUGGGAAGGAAACUCUGACCCAGCGACGCCGCGUGAAUGAAGAAGGCCUUCGGGUUGUAAAGUUCUUUAGUGGGGGACGAAAUAAUGACGGUACCCCAAGAAUAAGCCACGACUAACUACGUGCCAGCCGCUGC